rnacentral:lncRNA from 1 species
UCGUUUGUCUUAUAAUUCAAAAGAAAAAAUAUAAUAUUCUCUUUCUUUCUAAUUUUUAUAAUAUAUAUUUUAUCGAUACAUAUUAUAUAGUCAAGUGAUAUACAUCAAGUAAAUUAAUCAUCAAGUAAGUUAAUACACACCUUCAGAUAAAUCAAUACGUAGUUUCUAUAAUAUGAAAUUCACCAAUAUAUAGUAUACGGCC